rnacentral:rRNA from 1 species
AGUAAUGUAUCGGAACGUGCCCAGUAGUGGGGGAUAACUACGCGAAAGCGUAGCUAAUACCGCAUAUUCUUUUCGGAGGAAAGGGGGGGAUCAUUUGACCUCUCGCUAUUGGAGCGGCCGAUAUCAGAUUAGUUAGUUGGUGGGGUAACGGCCUACCAAGGCAGUGAUCUGUAGCUGGUUUGAGAGGACGACCAGCCACACUGGGACUGAGACACGGCCCAGACUCCUACGGGAGGCAGCAGUGGGGAAUUUUCGACAAUGGGGGAAACCCUGAUCGAGCCAUCCCGCGUGUGGGACGAAGGCCUUCGGGUUGUAAACCACUUUUCUUAGCGAAGAAAAGUCUUAGGCUAAUACCUUAAGACGCUGACGGUAGCCAAGGAAUAAGCAUCGGCUAACUACGUGCCAGCAGCCGCGGUAAUACGUAGGAUGCAAGCGUUAAUCGGAAUUACUGGGCGUAAAGGGUGCGCAGGCGGCUUGGAAAGAACGGUGUGAAAUCCCGGGGCUCAACCCCGGAACUGCACUAUUAACUAUCAAGCUAGAGUAUGUCAGAGGGGGGUGGAAUUCCGCGUGUAGCAGUGAAAUGCGUAGAUAUGCGGAGGAACACCAAUGGCGAAGGCAGCCCCCUGGGAUAAUACUGACGCUCAGGCACGAAAGCGUGGGUAGCAAACAGGAUUAGAUACCCUGGUAGUCCACGCCCUAAACGAUGUCAACUAGCUGUUGGGCCGGUUACGGCUUAGUAGCGCAGCUAACGCGUGAAGU